rnacentral:rRNA from 1 species
UACGUAGGGCGCAAGCGUUGUCCGGAAUUAUUGGGCGUAAAGAGCUCGUAGGCGGUUUGUCGCGUCGGGAGUGAAAACUCAGGGCUUAACCCUGAGCCUGCUCCCGAUACGGGCAGACUAGAGGUAUGCAGGGGAGAACGGAAUUCCUGGUGUAGCGGUGAAAUGCGCAGAUAUCAGGAGGAACACCGGUGGCGAAGGCGGUUCUCUGGGCAUUACCUGACGCUGAGGAGCGAAAGCGUGGGGAGCGAACAGG